ACUACAGUCCGGGUUCCUGCAGUGUGGUCUCCCAGGCUGACUUCUCGGUUGCAUUUCAUUCGGAUGAUGGAUGGCCCUCGGAUCUGUCCUUCUACACUCAGGGACUCAUUGCUCAGACUGAGGACCAACAGCUUUCCAGGAAUCCUCAAGACCUUCACUGCCAGAGAUACCGCUGCUGAGACAUUCAGCCUCCUGAUGUGAGAAGUUAGCAGAUUCUCAGCUUAUCCAGUGUGAGUCAGCAUUGUUGGACUGCCAGAAGCAUAUUGUGAGGAGAUGAGAGCCUAUGCGACACCUAUGGGAGAUAUCUAAUCUGUAAGGGUUGAUGGAUGCAGACCCGGAACCCACCUGCCUCCCUACAAGACCGGAGCUAAGUUUGUUGUUAGACCA